rnacentral:rRNA from 1 species
GACGAACGCUGGCGGCGUGCUUAACACAUGCAAGUCGAACGGAAAGGCCCUGCUUUCGUGGGGUGCUCGAGUGGCGAACGGGUGAGUAACACGUGAGUAACCUGCCCUUGCCCUUGGGAUAACUUCAGGAAACUGGGGCUAAUACCGGAUAGGAGCUCCUGCUGCAUGGUGGGGGUUGGAAAGUUUCGGCGGUUGGGGAUGGACUCGCGGCUUAUCAGCUUGUUGGUGGGGUAGUGGCUUACCAAGGCUUUGACGGGUAGCCGGCCUGAGAGGGUGACCGGCCACAUUGGGACUGAGAUACGGCCCAGACUCCUGCGGGAGGCAGCAGUGGGGAAUAUUGCACAAUGGGCGGAAGCCUGAUGCAGCAACGCCGCGUGCGGGAUGACGGCCUUCGGGUUGUAGACCGCUUUCGCCUGUGACGAAGCGUGAGUGACGGUAAUGGGUAAAGAAGCACCGGCUAACUACGUG